GUUGCCCUGGGGGAAAAGGGGGCCCCCAAAAUUUCCCCCGGGGGAAAAUUUCCCCCGGGGGAAAAUUUGGGGGUUUAAAACCCCCAAAAGGGGGCCCCCUUUAAAACCCCCGGGGGUUUAAAACCCCCGGGGGUUUCCCCCUUUGGGGGAAAAGGGGGGCCCCCAAAAUUUCCCCCGGGGGAAAAAUUUCCCCCGGGGGGAAAAUUUGGGGGG
rnacentral:rRNA from 1 species